rnacentral:lncRNA from 1 species
GUAAACAUCUCUGUGUAUCCAGGGAGCCGUGUGUAUACUAAACAUAAACCUUGGAAACUCUAAAAGUGAAGGAAAGACUGGAGACGAGGUGCAGCCCCUGAGAAUCUGUGGUUCUCCCGUGUAUUCCUUCACUAUGGAGAGAGAAGACCCUCACAGGACAAUCUCAGAAGCUACAGAACUGGUUCACAGAACACAGCAUCCAACGUUCCCAGAUAAAAUUGAGGACCUGUUUUAUUCUGCCUUAUGA